rnacentral:rRNA from 1 species
GACGAACGCUGGCGGCGUGCCUAAUACAUGCAAGUAGAACGCUGAAGGAGGAGCUUGCUUCUCUGGACGAGUUGCGAACGGGUGAGUAACGCGUAGGUAACCUGCCUGGUAGCGGGGGAUAACUAUUGGAAACGAUAGCUAAUACCGCAUAAGAGUAGAUGUUGCAUGACAUUUGCUUAAAAGGUGCAAUUGCAUCACUACCAGAUGGACCUGCGUUGUAUUAGCUAGUUGGUGAGGUAACGGCUCACCAAGGCAACGAUACAUAGCCGACCUGAGAGGGUGAUCGGCCACACUGGGACUGAGACACGGCCCAGACUCCUACGGGAGGCAGCAGUAGGGAAUCUUCGGCAAUGGACGGAAGUCUGACCGAGCAACGCUGCGUGAGUGAAGAAGGUUUUCGGAUCGUAAAGCUCUGUUGUAAGAGAAGAACGAGUGUGAGAGUGGAAAGUUCACAG